CACGUAGGGAGCAAGCGUUGUCCGGAUUUAUUGGGCGUAAAGCGCUCGCAGGUGGUUCGUCGCGUCGUGCGUGAAAGACCCCGGCUCAACUGGGGAGGGUCGUGCGAUACGGGCGGACUGGAGGCCAGUAGGGGGAUGCGGAAUUCCGGGUGUAGUGGUGGAAUGCGUAGAGAUCCGGAGGAACACCAGCGGCGAAGGCGGCAUCCUGGACUGGUCCUGACACUCAUGAGCGAAAGCGUGGGGAGCGAUCCGG
rnacentral:rRNA from 1 species